rnacentral:rRNA from 1 species
AACUUAAGCAUAUCAAUAAGCGGAGGAAAAGAAACUAACAAGGAUUCCCCUAGUAACUGCAGUGAAGCGGGAAAAGCUCAAAUUUAAAAUCUGGCGGUCUCUGGCCGUCCGAGUUGUAAUCUAGAGAAGUAAUGCCCGUGCUGGACCGUGUAUAAGUCUCCUGGGAUGGGGCGUCAUAGAGGGUGAGAAUCCCGUCUUUGACACGGACUACCAGUGCAUUGUGGUAUGCUCUCAAAGAGUCGAGUUGUUUGGGAAUGCAGCUCAAAAUGGGUGGUAAAUUCCAUCUAAAGCUAAAUAUUGGCGAGAGACCGAUAGCGAACAAGUACCGUGAGGGAAAGAUGAAAAGAACUUUGGAAAGAGAGUUAAACAGUACGUGAAAUUGCUGAAAGGGAAACGCUUGAAGUCAGCCGCGUUGGCCAGGGAUCAGCCUUGCUCUUGCAUGGUGUACUUUCUGGUUGACGGGUCAGCAUCAAUUUUGACCGCUGGAAAAGGUCCUGGGGAAUGUGGCAGCUCCGGCUGUGUUAUAGCCCCUGGUCGCAUACAGUGGUUGGGAUUGAGGAACUCAGCACGCCGCAAGGCCGGGUUUCGACCACGUCCGUGCUUAGGAUGCUGGCAUAAUGGCUUUAAGCGACCCGUCUUGAAACACGGAA